rnacentral:tRNA from 1 species
GGUAAAAUGGCUGAGAUGUUAGGCAGUAGAUUGUAAAUUUACGUACGAAUUAGAUUCUUUUACCA